AGAGUUUGAUCCUGGCUCAGGAUGAACGCUAGCGGCAGGCUUAACACAUGCAAGUCGAGGGGUAGCAGGAAAAAGCUUGCUUUUUUGCUGACGACCGGCGAACGGGUGCGUAACGCGUAUGCAAUCUACCUUUUGCUGAGGGAUAGCCCAGAGAAAUUUGGAUUAAUACCUCAUAGUAUGGUGACUUGGCAUCAAGAUAUCAUUAAAGGUUACGGCAAAAGAUGAGCAUGCGUUCUAUUAGCUAGUUGGUGUGGUAACGGCAUACCAAGGCAACGAUAGAUAGGGGUCCUGAGAGGGAGAUCCCCCACACUGGUACUGAGACACGGACCAGACUCCUACGGGAGGCAGCAGUGAGGAAUAUUGGUCAAUGGAGGCAACUCUGAACCAGCCAUGCCGCGUGCAGGAAGACGGCCCUACGGGUUGUAAACUGCUUUUGUACGGGAAGAAAAAGAAUUACGAGUAAUUUAUUGACGGUACCGUAAGAAUAAGGAUCGGCUAACUCCGUGCCAGCAGCCGCGGUAAUACGGAGGGUCCAAGCGUUAUCCGGAUUUAUUGGGUUUAAAGGGUCCGUAGGCGGGCUUAUAAGUCAGAGGUGAAAUCCCAUCGCUCAACGAUGGAACUGCCUUUGAUACUGUAGGUCUUGAAUGUAUUUGAAGUAGGCGGAAUAUGUAGUGUAGCGGUGAAAUGCAUAGAUAUUACAUAGAACACCAAUUGCGAAGGCAGCUUACUAAGAUAUAAUUGACGCUGAUGGACGAAAGCGUGGGUAGCGAACGGGAUUAGAUACCCCGGUAGUCCACGCCGUAAACGAUGCUAACUCGGUGCUUGUCUACUUGAAGAUGAGUGCCAAAGCGAAAGUAUUAAGUUAGCCACCUGGGGAGUACGCUGGCAACAGUGAAACUCAAAGGAAUUGACGGGGGCCCGCACAAGCGGUGGAGCAUGUGGUUUAAUUCGAUGCAACGCGAAGAACCUUACCAGGUCUUGACAUCCCUCUGACCGGUACAGAGAUGUACCUUUCCUUCGGGACAGAGGAGACAGGUGGUGCAUGGUUGUCGUCAGCUCGUGUCGUGAGAUGUUGGGUUAAGUCCCGCAACGAGCGCAACCCUUAUCCUUGUUUGCCAGCACUUCGGGUGGGAACUCCAGGGAGACUGCCGGUGAUAAACCGGAGGAAGGUGGGGACGACGUCAAGUCAUCAUGGCCCUUACGAGUAGGGCUACACACGUGCUACAAUGGCGCAUACAGAGGGCGGCCAACUUGCGAAAGUGAGCGAAUCCCAAAAAGUGCGUCGUAGUCCGGAUUGGAGUCUGCAACUCGACUCCAUGAAGUCGGAAUCGCUAGUAAUCGUGGAUCAGAAUGCCACGGUGAAUACGUUCCCGGGCCUUGUACACACCGCCCGUCACACCAUGGGAGUGGGUUGCAAAAGAAGUGGCUAGUUUAACCUUCGGGAGGACGGUCACCACUUUGUGAUUCAUGACUGGGGUGAAGUCGUAACAAGGUAGCCGUAGG
rnacentral:rRNA from 1 species